AUACGGUGGGGGCUAGCGUUGUUCGGAAUUACUGGGCGUAAAGCGCGCGUAGGCGGAUUGAUCAGUCAGGGGUGAAAUCCCGAGGCUUAACCUCGGAACUGCCUUUGAUACUGUCAGUCUUGAGUUCGAGAGAGGUGAGUGGAAUUCCUAGUGUAGAGGUGAAAUUCGUAGAUAUUAGGAAGAACACCAGUGGCGAAGGCGGCUCACUGGCUCGAUACUGACGCUGAGGUGCGAAAGCGUGGGGAGCAAACAGGAUUAGAUACCCUAGUAGUCC
rnacentral:rRNA from 1 species